rnacentral:ncRNA from 1 species
AAUAAAUAAUAAUUUUAUAUAAUAAUAAUAAUAUAUAUAUAUAUAUAUAUAAUUAUAUUAGUUAUAUAAUAAGGAAAAGUAAAAAAUUUAUAAGAAUAUGAUGUUGGUUCAGAUUAAGCGCUAAAUAAGGACAUGACGCAUACGAGUCAUACGUUUAUUAUUGAUAAGAUAAUAAAUAUGUGGUGUAAACGUGAGUAAUUUUAUUAGGAAUUAAUGAACUAUAGAAUAAGCUAAAUACUUAAUAUAUUAUUAUAUAAAAAUAAUUUAUAUAAUAAAAAGGAUAUAUAUAUAAUAUAUAUUUAUCUAUAGUCAAGCCAAUAAUGGUUUAGGUAGUAGGUUUAUUAAGAGUUAAACCUAGCCAACGAUCCAUAAUCGAUAAUGAAAGUUAGAACGAUCACGUUGACUCUGAAAUAUAGUCAAUAUCUAUAAGAUACAGCAGUGAGGAAUAUUGGACAAUGAUCGAAAGAUUGAUCCAGUUACUUAUUAGGAUGAUAUAUAAAAAUAUUUUAUUUUAUUUAGUUCCGGGGCCCGGCCACGGAACCGGACCCGAAAGGAGAAAUAUUAAAUAUUUAUAAUAAUAAUAAUAAUAAUAUAUAUAUAUAAAUUGAUUAAAAAUAAAAUCCAUAAAUAAUUAAAAUAAUGAUAUUAAUUACCAUAUAUAUUUUAUAUGGAUAUAUAUAUUAAUAAUAAUAUUAAUUUAUUAUUAUUAAUAAUAUAUUUUAAUAGUCCUGACUAAUAUUUGUGCCAGCAGUCGCGGUAACACAAAGAGGGCGAGCGUUAAUCAUAAUGGUUUAAAGGAUCCGUAGAAUGAAUUAUAUAUUAUAAUUUAGAGUUAAUAAAAUUAAUUAAAGAAUUAUAAUAGUAAAGAUGAAAUAAUAAUAAUAAUUAUAAGACUAAUAUAUGUGAAAAUAUUAAUUAAAUAUUAACUGACAUUGAGGGAUUAAAACUAGAGUAGCGAAACGGAUUCGAUACCCGUGUAGUUCUAGUAGUAAACUAUGAAUACAAUUAUUUAUAAUAUAUAUUAUAUAUAAAUAAUAAAUGAAAAUGAAAGUAUUCCACCUGAAGAGUACGUUAGCAAUAAUGAAACUCAAAACAAUAGACGGUUACAGACUUAAGCAGUGGAACAUGUUAUUUAAUUCGAUAAUCCACGACUAACUUUACCAUAUUUUGAAUAUUAUAAUAAUUAUUAUAAUUAUUAUAUUACAGGCGUUACAUUGUUGUCUUUAGUUCGUGCUGCAAAGUUUUAGAUUAAAUGUGCAUAAACGACCAAAACUCCAUAUAUAUAAUUUUUUAAUAUAUAUUAAAAAUAUUAUUUAUUAAUAUAAAGAAAGGAAUUAAGACAAAUCAUAAUGAUCCUUAUAAUAUGGGUAAUAGACGUGCUAUAAUAAAAUGAUAAUAAAAUUAUAUAAAAUAUAUUUAAUUAUAUUUAAUUAAUAAUAUAAAACAUUUUAAUUUUUAAUAUAUUUUUUUAUUAUAUAUUAAUAUCAAUUAUAAUCUGAAAUUCGAUUAUAUGAAAAAAGAAUUGCUAGUAAUACGUAAAUUAGUAUGUUACGGUGAAUAUUCUAACUGUUUCGCACUAAUCACUCAUCACGCGUUGAAACAUAUUAUUAUCUUAUUAUUUAUAUAAUAUUUUUUAAUAAAUAUUAAUAAUUAUUAAUUUAUAUUUAUUUAUAUCAGAAAUAAUAUGAAUUAAUGCGAAGUUGAAAUACAGUUACCGUAGGGGAACCUGCGGUGGGCUUAUAAAUAUCUUAAAUAUUCUUACA